UACGUAGGGACCAAGCGUUGUUCGGAUUUACUGGGCGUAAAGGGCGCGUAGGCGGCGUGGUAAGUCACUUGUGAAAUCUCUGAGCUUAACUCAGAACGGCCAAGUGAUACUGCUGUGCUAGAGUGCAGAAGGGGCAAUCGGAAUUCUUGGUGUAGCGGUGAAAUGCGUAGAUAUCAGGAAGAACACCCGUGGCGAAGGCGGUUCUCUGGGACGGUACUGACGCUGAGACGCGAAAGCGUGGGGGAGCGAACAGG
rnacentral:rRNA from 1 species